rnacentral:rRNA from 1 species
AGCUACAGGCUUCACACAUGCAAGUCGAGGGGCAGCAUGGUCUUAGCUUGCUAAGACUGAUGGCGACCGGCGCACGGGUGAGUAACACGUAUCCAACCUGCCGUCUACUCUUGGACAGCCUUCUGAAAGGAAGAUUAAUACAAGAUGGCAUCAUGAGUCCGCAUGUUCACAUGAUUAAAGGUAUUCCGGUAGACGAUGGGGAUGCGUUCCAUUAGAUAGUAGGCGGGGUAACGGCCCACCUAGUCUUCGAUGGAUAGGGGUUCUGAGAGGAAGGUCCCCCACAUUGGAACUGAGACACGGUCCAAACUCCUACGGGAGGCAGCAGUGAGGAAUAUUGGUCAAUGGGCGAGAGCCUGAACCAGCCAAGUAGCGUGAAGGAUGACUGCCCUAUGGGUUGUAAACUUCUUUUAUAAAGGAAUAAAGUCGGGUAUGGAUACCCGUUUGCAUGUACUUUAUGAAUAAGGAUCGGCUAACUCCGUGCCAGCAGCCGCGGUAAUACGGAGGAUCCGAGCGUUAUCCGGAUUUAUUGGGUUUAAAGGGAGCGUAGAUGGAUGUUUAAGUCAGUUGUGAAAGUUUGCGGCUCAACCGUAAAAUUGCAGUUGAUACUGGAUAUCUUGAGUGCAGUUGAGGCAGGCGGAAUUCGUGGUGUAGCGGUGAAAUGCUUAGAUAUCACGAAGAACUCCGAUUGCGAAGGCAGCCUGCUAAGCUGCAACUGACAUUGAGGCUCGAAAGUGUGGGUAUCAAACAGGAUUAGAUACCCUGGUAGUCCACACGGUAAACGAUGAAUACUCGCUGUUUGCGAUAUACGGCAAGCGGCCAAGCGAAAGCGUUAAGUAUUCCACCUGGGGAGUACGCCGGCAACGGUGAAACUCAAAGGAAUUGACGGGGGCCCGCACAAGCGGAGGAACAUGUGGUUUAAUUCGAUGAUACGCGAGGAACCUUACCCGGGCUUAAAUUGCAGAUGAAUUACGGUGAAAGCCGUAAGCCGCAAGGCAUCUGUGAAGGUGCUGCAUGGUUGUCGUCAGCUCGUGCCGUGAGGUGUCGGCUUAAGUGCCAUAACGAGCGCAACCCUUGUUGUCAGUUACUAACAGGUUCCGCUGAGGACUCUGACAAGACUGCCAUCGUAAGAUGUGAGGAAGGUGGGGAUGACGUCAAAUCAGCACGGCCCUUACGUCCGGGGCUACACACGUGUUACAAUGGGGGGUACAGAGGGCCGCUACCACGCGAGUGGAUGCCAAUCCCAAAAACCUCUCUCAGUUCGGACUGGAGUCUGCAACCCGACUCCACGAAGCUGGAUUCGCUAGUAAUCGCGCAUCAGCCACGGCGCGGUGAAUACGUUCCCGGGCCUUGUACACACCGCCCGUCAAGCCAUGGGAGCCGGGGGUACCUGAAGUGCGUAACCGCGAGGAGCGCCCUAGGGUAAAACUGGUGACUGGGGCUAAGU